rnacentral:lncRNA from 13 species
CACCACUGUUACCUGACGGCAAUUGAACUUUCAUUUGUUUGUUUUUAGAGACAGGGUCUCUCUAUGUUUCAGACUGGAGUGCAGUGGCUAUUCUCAGUGAUCAUAGCUCACUGUAGUCUCAAAUUCCUGGCUUCAAGUGAUCCUCCUGCCUCAGCCUCCUCAGUAGCUGGAACUACAGGGUUUAGACCUACAGUGUCCUGUGAGUCCCUCUCUGCUGGUGUGGAGAUGAGAAACUGUGGAAAUAAAAGACACAAGACACCAAGAAAGAGAGAACAGAGCUUGGGCCCGGGGUCCACUGCCAACCAAAGCACGGAGACCGGCAGUGGCCCCAGAGUGCCUGAACACUCUUUUAUUGAGUACAAAGCAGGGGGCAGGGCAGGUAGGAUGAGGUCCUGGUGGUUAGUGAUAGGGUCAGGUAAAUCACGUGCCUUGGAGACAGGGGUCCAAGAUUUUGAAGAAGCCGAGGUGAGGAGAAAACCUAAGGCAUCAGCACUUUUUCCAUACUUGUCAAGAAAUAACAAGAUCACUAAGAUUUAUGUCACUAUUACUAAUUCUUACCUUCUAAGGAAAAGAGGAACCAGGUGCAGAAGCAGAACUUGAAAGUAGACAUGGAGCGUGACAGCGGAAGCACAGCACCACACAGAGACAAUUAAGUCCCCAGAUGUCUGUGGGCUUCCCUGACAGCUGCCAGGCCUACCACAAGAGCCUGGAAGAGCGGAGUUUUCUCCUCACUCCCUCGAGGAAGGAAACAUCUCGGCCAUCUUGGACAUCUCCUUCCCUAGCUGGCUAAACAGCAGGCGCUUUUAUAACGCUGACACUGUCGCACAGCCAAGGCGUCCUCUGGCAGCCCUUCUGUGGGCGUGACAGAGAACUUAAGAGUAUCUUGCCUUAGGGUCACCGCUUUUUCAAUGCCACUUCAGUCCCAUACUUCUUGAUCUGAGACUUAUUAGUAAGAUUAAAGAUUAUAUGAUUAUAUAUGUGUAUAUAUUUAUGAUUACAUAUGAAUAACUGUGAUUG